GCAUGAAUUUGAUAGUGUGCGGAAAAGAAUGUCCGUUGUCAUCAGAUUUCCUAACAAUGAUGUGAAGGUUUUGGUGAAAGGCGCUGAUACUUCCAUGUUCAGUAUUUUAGCCAAAGACAAUGAGAGGGAUAAUCAUGUAAGGCAUGCAACACAAUGCCAUUUGACUGAAUAUUCAUCGCAAGGUCUACGUACACUUGUUAUUGCUGCAAGAGAUCUUACAGAGGCUGAACUUGGGCUGUGGCAAUGCAAGUUUGAUGAUGCAAGCACUUCUUUGACGGACAGAGCCACAAAACUACGUCAAACAGCAGCCCUUAUAGAAUGUGAUUUAAAUCUACUUGGGGCUACUGGAAUUGAAGACAAG
rnacentral:misc_RNA from 1 species